GAUCCUGGCUCAGGAUAAACGGCUGGCGGCAUGCCUAAUACAUGCAAGUCGAACGGAGUUACCUUCGGGUAACUUAGUGGCGAACGGGUGAGUAACACGUAGGUAAUCCAUCCCAAGGACGAGGAUAGCUUCUGGAAACGAAGGUAAAACUGGAUAGUUAAUUAAAGGGCAUCCUUUAGUUAUUAAAAGAGCAAUCUACCCUGGGAAGAGCCUGCGGCGCAUUAGCUAGUUGGUGAGGUAAUGGCCCACCAAGGCGAUGAUGCGUAGCCGGACUGAGAGGUCGACCGGCCACAUUGGGACUGAGACACGGCCCAGACUCCUACGGGAGGCAGCAGUAGGGAAUUUUCGGCAAUGGGCGGAAGCCUGACCGAAGCAAUGCCGCGUGAAUGAUGAAGUAUUUCGGUAUGUAAAGUUCUUUUAACAGGGACGAAAAAACAAAUUGACGGUACCUGUUGAAUAAGCUCCGGCUAACUACGUGCCAGCAGCCGC
rnacentral:rRNA from 1 species